UAUUGGAUACGGGUCACUUUUAAAAGAAGGUGUAAGUGGGUCAUCAAGAAAAUCGAAUAUGCUAUAGUCAAAAAAUCUGAUUUGGGCAUCCAGACCUGCAGUGUAAAUGUGGCCUAAAUGUAAUCUUUAGUUUUAAACUAUGUGCAGAUGUGAGGGGGGUUUUGGCAUCAAAGAGGAGGAGUUUGGAAUAUAGAUCCGAGAUGAUCUUGUUACAUUUGCUCGACUGUCACAAAGCUCAGUCCUGCUGCAGUGACACACACAUGUACAAUGAUACUUCAUUCAGUCAUUCUGCUCUCUGCCUUGACAUGUGUGAGUUUUGGAGAUGAAAUCACAGCAGACAGCACUGAGGAAUCUGCUGCAGUGGGUUCAACUGUUACUUUAUCCUGCAGUUAUUCAUCUGCACAAUCACUUCAGUGGUACCGUCAGUAUCCCGGAUCAGCUCCUCAAUUUCUUGUGCUUAUAAUAGAGAGUGUGAAAGAGACUAAGAGAUCUGAUGUAGAUCCCAGGUUCUCUACUAAACUCAGAAAAGAAAACCAAGCAACAAAAGAGAUCAAACAUGUGGAUCUGAUGAUCUCCUCUGCUGCUGUAUCAGACUCUGCUCUGUACUACUGCGCUCUGAGGCCCACAGUGACAGGAAACACAUCAACACUGUACAAAAACCUGACACAGAUGAAGGUUUACAACCAAUUUCUUUCCAUAUAG